GAUGAACGCUAGCGGCAGGCUUAAUACAUGCAAGUCAAGGGGGUAGCAAUACAACCGGCGCACGGGUGAGUAACGCGUACACAACAUACCAUAUACUGGAGUAUAGCUUUGGGAAACUGAAGGUAAUCCUCCAUAACAUUGCGAGAGGGCAUCUGAUUGCAAUUAAAGUUUCGGCGGUAUAUGAUUGGUGUGCGUUUGAUUAGCUAGUUGGUAGGGUAACGGCCUACCAAGGCGACGAUCAAUAGCUGGCGUGAGAGCGCGACCAGCCACACUGGAACUGAGACACGGUCCAGACUCCUACGGGAGGCAGCAGUAGGGAAUAUUGGACAAUGGAGGAAACUCUGAUCCAGCCAUGCCGCGUGAUAGAUGAAGGCCCUCUGGGUUGUAAAUAUCUUUUUAUCUUGGGAAGAAACACUCCUAUUCUUAGGAACUUGACGGUACCAGAGGAAUAAGCACCGGCUAACUCCGUGCCAGCAGCCGCGGU
rnacentral:rRNA from 1 species